GAUGAACGCUAGCUACAGGCUUAACACAUGCAAGUCGAGGGGAAACGAUGAGAGAGCUUGCUCUCUUAGUCGUCGACCGGCGCACGGGUGAGUAACGCGUAUCCAACCUGCCUCUGACCAAGGGAUAACCCGUCGAAAGUCGGACUAAUACCUUAUGCAGUCGUCGGAAGUCAUCUGAUGACGACGAAAGAUUUCAUCGGUGAGAGAUGGGGAUGCGUCUGAUUAGCUUGUUGGCGGGGUAACGGCCCACCAAGGCGACGAUCAGUAGGGGUUCUGAGAGGAAGGGACACCACAUUGGAACUGAGACACGGUCCAAACUCCUACGGGAGGCAGCAGUGAGGAAUAUUGGUCAAUGGUCGUAAGCCUGAACAAGCCAAGUAGCGUGCAGAAUGACGGGCCUAUGUGUUGUAAACUGCUUUUAUGCGAGGAUAAAGUGAGGGACGUGUCCUUCAUUGCAGGUACCGCAUGAAUAAGGACCGGCUAAUUCCGUG
rnacentral:rRNA from 1 species